GAUGAACGCUAGCGGCAGGCCUAACACAUGCAAGUCGAGGGGCAGCACGUCUUCGGAUGGUGGCGACCGGCGCACGGGUGCGUAACGCGUAUGCAACCUACCUCUUACAGUGGGAUAGCCCAGAGAAAUUUGGAUUAAUACCGCAUAGUAUACAGAUUCAGCAUUGGGACUGUAUUAAACAUUUAUGGGUAAGAGAUGGGCAUGCGUUCUAUUAGUUAGUUGGAGUGGUAACGGCACCCCCAAGACAGCGAUAGAUAGGGGCCCUGAGAGGGGGAUCCCCCCGANACUGGUACUGAGACACGGACCAGACUCCUACGGGAGCAGCAGUGAGGAAUNUUGGACAAUGGGCAGAGCCUGAGUCCAGCCAUGCCGCGUGCAGGAAGACGG
rnacentral:rRNA from 1 species